CUCGACUGUAAACGUCAGGGUAAUGGGACUUUUCAAAUGCUCUUUCCAGCUCGUGAAGCUGAAAGGUGGUGAACGUCGUCCUGUUCCGCCUGUGCUUUUUCUUGGGAUUCUCAUCAUCAGAAAGUUUACUGUCCCCCUCAGUAUUGCUUCAAUGCUGUGAACUCUAGAUGUGUUCACCGGACUUCUGACGAAACGUGCGGAAGGUGACAUGCGCUCUUCCAUCAUAACUUCCAUAGGCGAACCAAUGAGCCACAUUGAAUAAUAAGAACUUCUUCAAUCAAAACUCUUCAACACCAAAUUCACCUGAAGAAGCUUCAGAAGCGGUAGUAAAGCCCAAACAGAUGUCAUGUCCAUGAAGGCCUGCAAUAAAAUAAAAAAAGGAAAAAAAGGGCGGCAUACAGAUUAAAGCUUAAGCAAAGUAAGCCGUGGAUGUGUUUGUCAUGUUUACACCUGGAUGGAUGUUCAGAAAUUUGUGAAGUUGUGAAGUAAUGUGUAAGUAAAUACAACUUCUCCCACUUUCAGAGAGAAGCUGCCAAAGACAUUUAACCCUGAUGGGCCAAUGACUUCAACUACGUUGAUCCCAUUAGCCUCUUUGGAGAUUCAGUAAGGCCCUAUGAACUUGGGCGCACGUGAAAUUCUCAAAAGCCAGGAUUUUGGAUCUUUCCUUUUGUCUAAUCAACUCCAGCAAGUGUUUUUCAGUAAUCUCCAAUUAAAUUAAGACCCAUUUUUUAUUGGUGUUAGUGAAUUCCAAAUAGUAAGAACUUAAUCUGUGUGUGUUUAGUAGUGGCUUUACUUGGACUUGUACAGCUAGCUCUGUGUUCAUUAAAUAAUGCUGAAGGAAUUGUCAAAUAAAACAGGCUACAAAUCAGCCAUU